rnacentral:rRNA from 1 species
GUGUCAGCAGCCGCGGUAAUACGUAGGGGGCAAGCGUUGUCCGGAAUCAUUGGGCGUAAAGAGCGCGUAGGCGGUCCGGUAAGUCCGCUGUGAAAGUCGGGGGCUCAACCCUCGAAUGCCGGUGGAUACUGCCGGGCUAGAGUCCGGAAGAGGCGAGUGGAAUUCCUGGUGUAGCGGUGAAAUGCGCAGAUAUCAGGAGGAACACCGAUGGCGAAGGCAGCUCGCUGGGACGGUACUGACGCUGAGGCGCGAAAGCGUGGGGAGCAAACAGGAUUAGAUACCCCUGUAGUCC